GCCAGACGUGGUGGCGCACACCUGUAAUCCCUGUGGCUUGGGAGGGUGAGGCAGGAGGAUCGCAAGUUCAAAGCCACCUUCAGCAAUGGUGAGGCAUUAAGCAACUUAGUGAGAUCCUGUCUCUA
rnacentral:sRNA from 1 species